GAUAGAAUGGCUGAUGUAAAGCGGUAAAUUGUAAAUUUACUUAUGGUUAUUUAAAAUAUCUUUUAUCA
rnacentral:tRNA from 1 species